ACUCUCUUUACUUGUUAUGAAGAGAAUCACUGACAGAGAUAGUUUAUAGGAUGUACUUUUCUCUCUCCUAGAUCCAUUGAAAUUAUAUUACAAUGACAACUAGAAUAUGGAAAGAAAACUCCUGAAGAAACAGAUCAAAAAUCUCCUGUCCCAUUACAACUUAGCCCUCAGUGUUGCUUUGAUGUGGUUAAGUGACUCAGAUACUCAGACUACACUGACAAGAGAGAAAAUAACAGCAUUCCUAUAGAAGAGAUCUUUGAGAUUUACAGCAUGAGACCCUCAGCAACUCACUGGCAGAGCUCUGCAAAAGUGAGUGAUUUGUUUUUUCAGCACAUCUGUAAAAGUGAAGCUAUCCAAUAAUAUCUGUGCCUUUUAAAAAUAUGCUACAUUUUAAACUGAAUUAAUUAGCCCUUUUACCCCAUUAGUAAUAGCAAAUGAGUUCCAACCUUUUCAGAACAAAAAGCCAAACUGUUCACCACCACCUCCUCUACCGUACAGUGUGCCAGCGAGAGGCAAGAAAAGGGCAGUCCAGUUACUGAUAUCCACACUAAGAUGUAAUCCAGCUCCUGCACCUUUGCCAUAAUGGUUUACAGAAGAGCAUUCCCACAACUAUGCUCUAAUUACCACUAAUGUGGAGUGGGGAAAAAGGCUAUGCAAGCCUGGGGAGAUACUGCCUGCUUCACAAGGGCCUUGCGUCUGUUCAAAGCAAGCUUCUCUAGCAAUAUCUCUUUAGUCAUAUAAUUGCUCUUUUAAAAAAGUAGGAGAGUUAUUACAAUCUUUAAUUCAUUACUCAAAUCUCAAGAAAGUAUUGUCUAUGGCCCAGCUCCAUAAUAAAAAAGCAUUUGUACUGGAAUAUGUAGAUUGU
rnacentral:lncRNA from 1 species